CUUAGCUGCUGAAGAAGGAGAGUCGCAUUCAGCCAGGGAUCACUGAGCAUUCAAAAGUCCAUCUGAGACCUGCUUUCAUUGCACUGCCUCGUGAGGAGCUGUAGGAGAAGAUAUCAUAACUAUUCCCCACUUCUAAUUGUUAGAAGCAACAGCUGUCUAUCAAGAACAAUCUGAGGAUUGUGCACAAAUUGAUUUGGUUCUAUCAAGUGCUGGCUUUCGAUUCCAGUCUGACUUCACUACCACAGGAGCUUCUUGCUCAGGCUUCUGUUCCGGCUCCAUUCUCUCCCUGCCAUUAUAAUGCCAUCCACUGCAGCACCAUCUCUUCAAUCAUUCCACCCCUGGAAGCAGAAGGUUCCCGGGGGUUAGGAGAGCUGCUUCAGUAUCAUUGCUCUUCAAUCUCAGACAAUAGCAAACACCCUUCAGAUCUUACCAGAUAAAGAAGCUGAGGUUCAGAGAGGAUAAAUGAACUACCUGAUGUCGCCCAAGGAGGAGCACGUCAAGAUUUUCACUAGGUUGUCUUUCAUGCCAAAGUGUGUGCUUUGAACUCCAAGUUGCCAUGGUGUCAAAGGAGGGAACAUUUGGGCUUUCCUAUCAGCUUGCCCACAUGGGGCAGUGGGAGAAGAAGUGAUGGUACUUGAAAGCUGUCAACAGUCAAACAUCAAAAAUGGAGUCAAACUCUAUUACAAACUUGCAGACCAGAGAUGUCUCUUCAUCAGUGCUCAGCCCAGCUACCCUCUAGGUUGGUCUUUCUGAGGUGGCUGAAAUUCAUUAAUAAAGUGGUGCUGAACCUCUAUAGAAAAUUGAUUUCAUAUUUCUAGAAGAGUUUUAGGUUCACUGCAUAAUUGAAUGAAAAGUACUGUACAAAGAGCUGCCAUACACCCCAACAUGCACAGCUCUCUGACUGUCAGCGUCCCCCACCGCAGUGGUACAUUGGUUAAAACCGGUGAACCUACAUUGACACAUCAUUAUCAUCCAGGGUUCCUAGUUUACAUUAGGGGUCAUUCUCGGUGCUGUACAUUCCAGGGGUUUGCAAAAAGGCAUCAUGGUGAUCCUGUGUGUUACUUUUUACCAUUUCACACAUUUGCUCAGGCAGAGUUCUUUUGCAGACUGAUGAAAUCUCUGUAGGUUCAGAAUCCAGUUUCAAGACACUUAUUGCUAUCAGUUCCCUUAGGAAUGAUGGCUUCUGGGGAUUGACUUCAGGCUAACAAGGCACAUGGACUGAUGUAUAAACAAGUGCCAACAUUAAUAUUCAGUGGGAAUUUUCUUUUCUUGUCACUAGAAAACCUUAUCUCAUGUAGCCCUUCCCAUUACCAAGCUUUCCUGGAAUCCAGGUUGCUAACCAAGAAAUUGUGAGGCAAACAUGAAUAUAUGAAAUCAUGGUAAAAUAAACUGAGUAGGCUUGAUGGAUAUUUCUUUUGAGUUAUGGCAGAAAUUAAAGAAUUAUGCCUGCUUUACCGGGGAGUAUGUAUCUCUAGUGACUUUUAUUAUCUAGAUUCCAGGUCUCUGGGUAAACUCUAACAAACGGUUAUUUUUCAACACUGUUUUCUAAACUUCAUACAGAUUGCCAGGUCAUUUUGUUAGCAUUUAUGAGUAAAAUGUGGUCUUCCAGGUUAUUCAAAGUCAAAGCUAAGGUUAUAGUGACUUAGUCCCCUGAAGAGAGUUAGAGACACACCAGUCUCCUGCACUACUCACUUCAAAGUGCCUGUUGUGAGUCACUUUUGGAGAAGGCUAAUCACAUCGUAUGUUAAUUAACUUCAGUUUUAGAGGAUGACUUUUCUGAUUUUGUUUCCAACUUUUGGGAGUGACUCUCAGUCUUUGGAGCUUAUUCUACACUGAUUAUUUAGGAUCCGAAAUGAAGGUGUCAAAUAUAUGAAAUACAAAAAAAUCCCUUGACAAAAUGGAAGUCUUAUAUAAAUACAGCUAAUUAUAAAGACAUAAAUUCCAUGGUUUCCCUCAAAAUCCCUCUUGUACCAACCCCACCCCUGUCCCCAGCUUAGGUUGUUUAUGACACUUUGGCAAAGUGAAUUUCACCCUGGCUCAACUUCCAUUGUAUACCUAUGUUACCAGGACAGUUUUAUUCUCUUGGGUUCCUAAAACCAGGAUCUGCCAAAUUAAGUGUCACUUUCCAUUGAGUAUGGAACGUGAGCUGCUACCUUCAAAAAGACACCAUGAGAAGAAAUUUUCCCAGAUUUCUAAGUGACAAGGUUUUGGCUUAUCAGUAUUACAUUAAUAAAUGCAAUGUCUGAACAAAAGAAUAUAACUAAAACAAAACAAUUUAUGAUGUUAAUUUACAAUCAACAUUCCUUUAGUUACAAAAGAAUGAAACUAAGACAAAACAAUGUAACCAAUGACUGUGGAUUUGGCUCCAAACUUUAGUGGGUUUCUCUCAAGCUAUUCUUUAAUAAUGAUAAAUAGCAAUUGUAAAAUUAAAAAAAAAGAGAGACCUUAAAACUCACCUUCAUCUCCUAGUUAAAUUUCAGUUUGAUACUUUAAAACUCAUGCUUGAUUCAUGUCUCAAGAUUAUAAAUAUUCAGAUGUCUUAUAUAUUUUUUUGUACAUAGCUGUUUAAUGCAACAAAAAACAUCCAUCCUGCUGGAAGUCUCUUUUCUUUUCUUUUUUCUUUCCUUCCUUCCUUCCUUCCUUCAUUCCUUCCUUUCUCCCUCCCUCCUUCCCUCCCUCUCUCUCUUUCUUUUUUCUUUCUUUCUUUCUCUCUUUCUUUCUUUCUCUCUCUCUCCUUCAUUCCUUUCUUCCUUUCCCUUCUUUCUUCUUCCUUUCUUUCUCUCUUUUUCCUUCCUUCCUUCCUUCCUUCCUUCCUCCCUCUGUCCCUCCCUCCCUCUUUUUUCUUUCUUUCUUUCUUUCUUUCUUUCUUUCUUUCUUUCUUUCUUUCCUUCUUUCUUUCUUUCUUUCUUCCUCCUUCCUUUCUUUCUUUUUCUUUUUCUUUCUUUCUCUCUUUCUCUCUCUCUCUUUCUUUCUUCCUCCCUCCCUCCCUCCCCCUCUUCCUUCCUUCCUCUUUCCCUUCCCUUCUCUCCCCUCCUUUCCCCUCUCCUUCCUUCCUUCCCUGCUUCCUCUUUCUUCUUUUUUUAAAUACAUCCUAUUUCCUUCUAAAUGGAAGUCUAUUUUUUAAGAAAAAUGAUUUUGAUUUUGAGCAAUAAGACAGGACAUUUGGAAAGCAGUUUACUGCAUUUUCCAAGCACAAUGGUACAGGCUUCCUUAAAUAUGUCCCUUUGGAAAUUAAUGGCAAAAUUGAUGUCUCUUUUUCCUAAUCAUUAAGCCAGACUGGUAGAGAAAAAAGGGCUCUGUGUUUGUAUGCCUCUCCUCUUCUCCUUAAAUGCAGGGUCAAAUUGAAACUGUAAAAAUGACAGUCAAGAAAGUAAUUACACUCUGUUUCUUGUUCUUGCCAGAGGAGGGGUUGUAAGUAAACAAGCGUGAGCCCAGUACUUCCAAGCUAUGAAAGGAUUUCUCCAGUACAUUUUUCCCUCUUUGUGCAGACAUUAGCUAAGGUAAAUCCCAUUUCAUUUAAUAACUGCCUGCAUUAAGGAGGCUUUUUGAAGGGACUAAUUUACAUAAAGUAAGCUGAUUUGAAUAACCAGUGUUGGUUUGAAUAUUAAAAACAAAAUAUGCACCUGCAAUUUUGUAAAAGAAUUUGACUUGAUUGGCACUGCCUCAGGUGUUUCUUCCAAUAUCAGGGAGGUUAAAGUUUCCUUACUACUUUUGUGCGUCAGUGAAAAGAGCUAAAGAGAGAUUUCCAUACAAAUAAAUCCUUUGGCAACUAAUUACUGGGCACUUUGCCUAAAAGUUUGUACUGCCUUAAAUUACAGAAACAUGAAAUCAAAGAUAGUAGAAAAAAUUAAUCCUUCUGAAACUAAAGACUUAGUGUUUACCUUUAUAAAAUCCUACACUAUGGUUGCCAAUAUUUAGUUCCAUAAAGAUUAAAAACCAAGAAUUUCUUUAUAUUUGGAGGUUAAAUACUUCUUGUAAUACCCAAAUAAUUUUUUUUUUUUUUUUUUGAGACGGAGUCUCACUCUAUCGCCCAGGCUGGAGUGCAGUGGCGCGAUCUCCGCUCACUCCAAGCUCCGCCUCCUAGGUUCACGCCAUUCUCCUGCCUCAGCCUCCCAAGUAGCUAGGACUACAGGGGUGUGCCUGCAUGCCCAGCUAAUUUUUGUAUUUUUAGUAGAGACGGGGUUUCACCAUGUUGGCCAGGAUUGUCUCGAUCUCUUGACCUCAUGAUCCACCCACCUCGGCCUCACAAAGUGCUGGGAUUAUAGGCGUGAGUCACUGCGCUUGGUCAUAAAUCUUUAUAGAAAGUUUUUCAUUUGAAUUUUGCAAAAGGGCCAAUAUAUAAUAACAAUGUAUAGAUUAUAUUUCAUUUCAUAGCAUUUAGGCAGAGGUUCUUGAACUUUCUCUAGCCUCAGUACCUUUGGUGUCUAGUAAUUUUUUUACAGAGUCUCUAGGCAAAAGAAAUGCCCAAUGGAUCUGUUUAUUAAGUAGUUAGGCUCAAACAACUUAAUAACUAUUUAUAUCCUAAUACAUGAAUGCUAUUUUGAAAAAUAAUUUAUAUAAAGGCAGAGAAAACUCACGUGUCAUUCUGAAAUAACUGCAACUAUUUACCAAAAGUAUGUAUACAUCUAUUGGUCACUGCGGAAGUUCUCAAACCUUGGAAACAGAUGAACAUUAUUGCUCUCAUUUCUUGUUCCACAUUGAUUUUCAUUUGGUAAUUUUUAUCACUGUUGAAAAUGUUUUAGAAUGAUAUGAUGUCAUCAUAAGGACUGUAAAUCCAUCUAAUGCUGACACUGAAC
rnacentral:lncRNA from 1 species